UACAGAGGGGGCAAGCGUUAAUCGGAAUUACUGGGCGUAAAGCGUGCGUAGACGGUUAUGUAAGUCGGGUGUGAAAGCCUCGGGCUCAACCUGGGAAUUGCAUUCGAGACUGCAUAGCUAGGGUGCGGAAGAGGGAAGCGGAAUUUCCGGUGUAGCGGUGAAAUGCGUAGAUAUCGGAAGGAACACCAGUGGCGAAAGCGGCUUCCUGGUCCAGCACCGACGUUCAGGCACGAAAGCGUGGGGAGCAAACAGG
rnacentral:rRNA from 1 species